rnacentral:rRNA from 1 species
GCUGAAGGUUGGUACUUGUACCGACUGGAUGAGCAGCGAACGGGUGAGUAACGCGUGGGGAAUCUGCCUUUGAGCGGGGGACAACAUUUGGAAACGAAUGCUAAUACCGCAUAAAAACUUUAAACACAAGUUUUAAGUUUGAAAGAUGCAAUUGCAUCACUCAAAGAUGAUCCCGCGUUGUAUUAGCUAGUUGGUGAGGUAAAGGCUCACCAAGGCGAUGAUACAUAGCCGACCUGAGAGGGUGAUCGGCCACAUUGGGACUGAGACACGGCCCAAACUCCUACGGGAGGCAGCAGUAGGGAAUCUUCGGCAAUGGACGAAAGUCUGACCGAGCAACGCCGCGUGAGUGAAGAAGGUUUUCGGAUCGUAAAACUCUGUUGGUAGAGAAGAACGUUGGUGAGAGUGGAAAGCUCAUCAAGUGACGGUAACUACCCAGAAAGGGACGGCUAACUACGUGCCAGCAGCCGCGGUAAUACGUAGGUCCCGAGCGUUGUCCGGAUUUAUUGGGCGUAAAGCGAGCGCAGGUGGUUUAUUAAGUCUGGUGUAAAAGGCAGUGGCUCAACCAUUGUAUGCAUUGGAAACUGGUAGACUUGAGUGCAGGAGAGGAGAGUGGAAUUCCAUGUGUAGCGGUGAAAUGCGUAGAUAUAUGGAGGAACACCGGUGGCGAAAGCGGCUCUCUGGCCUGUAACUGACACUGAGGCUCGAAAGCGUGGGGAGCAAACAGGAUUAGAUACCCUGGUAGUCACGCCGUAACGAUGAGU